rnacentral:rRNA from 1 species
UGAACUUUGACCUUACUUGUGUAGGAUAGGUGGGAGGCUUUGAAGUUGGAACGCCAGUUCCAAUGGAGCCGUCCUUGAAAUACCACCCUGGUAAUGUUGAGGUUCUAACUCUGUCCCGUUAUCCGGGACGAGGACCAUGUCUGGUGGGUAGUUUGACUGGGGCGGUCUCCUCCUAAAGAGUAACGGAGGAGUACGAAGGUGCGCUCAGCGUGGUCGGAAAUCACGCGUAGAGUAUAAAGGCAAAAGCGCGCUUAACUGCGAGACCCACAAGUCGAGCAGGUACGAAAGUAGGUCUUAGUGAUCCGGUGGUUCUGUAUGGAAGGGCCAUCGCUCAACGGAUAAAAGGUACUCUGGGGAUAACAGGCUGAUACCGCCCAAGAGUUCAUAUCGACGGCGGUGUUUGGCACCUCGAUGUCGGCUCAUCUCAUCCUGGGGCUGAAGCAGGUCCCAAGGGUAUGGCUGUUCGCCAUUUAAAGAGGUACGCGAGCUGGGUUUAGAACGUCGUGAGACAGUUCGGUCCCUAUCUACCGUGGGCGCUGGAAAUUUGAGAGGAUCUGCUCCUAGUACGAGAGGACCAGAGUGGACGAACCUCUGGUGUACCGGUUGUGACGCCAGUCGCAUCGCCGGGUAGCUAUGUUCGGAAGGGAUAACCGCUGAAAGCAUCUAAGCGGGAAGCCUACCUCAAGAUAAGAUUUCCCUAGGACUUUAUGUCCUCUAAAGAGCCGUUGAAGACUACGACGUUGAUAGGUUGGAUGUGGAAGCAUAGUGAUAUGUGAAGCUGACCAAUACUAAUUGCUCGUGAGGCUUGACUAU